rnacentral:rRNA from 1 species
GAGGUAAAAGCUCACCAAGGCAACGACGGAUAGCUGGUCUGAGAGGACGAUCAGCCACACUGGGACUGAGACACGGCCCAGACUCCUACGGGAGGCUGCAGCAGGGAAUAUUGCGCAAUGAGCGAAAGUUUGACGCAACGACACCGCGUGUGGGAUGACGGAUCUAGGUUUGAAACCACUUUCAGGAGGGAAGAAAUGACGGUACCUCCAC